UUGAAACAGCGGUUCUCGCAAGAUCAACGAAGUUAAGCAACUUUGAGCCUGGUCAGUAUCUAGAUGGGUGAUCUCUUGAGAAUACUAGUGCUGUAU